rnacentral:rRNA from 1 species
GAUGAACGCUGGCGGCGUGCCUAAUACAUGCAAGUCGAACGCAUUGUGGUUGAAAUGAUAUGAAGAACUUGUUCAGAUUUGAUUUUCAACAUUGCGAUGAGUGGCGAACGGGUGAGUAACACGUGGGAAACCUACCUCUUAGCAGGGGAUAACAUUUGGAAACAAAUGCUAAUACCGUAUAAUAAUUAAAACCGCAUGGUUUUAGUUUAAAAGAUGGUCUUGCUAUCACUAAGAGAUGGUCCCGCGGUGUAUUAGUUAGUUGGUGAGGUAAUGGCUCACCAAGACAAUGAUACAUAGCCGAGUUGAGAGACUGACCGGCCACAAUGGGACUGAGACACGGCCCAUACUCCUACGGGAGGCAGCAGUAGGGAAUCUUCCACAAUGGACGAAAGUCUGAUGGAGCAACGCCGACGUGUGUGAUGAAGGGUUUCGGCUCGUAAAACACUGUUGUAAGAGAAGAAUGACAUUGAGAGUAACUGUUCAAUGUGUGACGGUAUCUU